AUGGCGACCGCCGACGGCCAGUCCCAGCCUGCGGCCACCGAACCCUCCCCAUCCCCGGCCAAGCGUAAGACGGACACCGACUCCGAGAUCUCUCCCCUCGACCCACCCGCCAAGGCCGCCCGCCCCGGCGCUGACGAGGAGGCCGCCGCCGAGGCCAAGGCCCGGGUCGCGGACAAGGGGAAGGGCAAGAUGGUGGUCGAUGAGGAGGAAGAAGGCGACGAGGAAAGCGACGAGGAGGAGGAUGACGAGGAGGUCGAGGGAGAUGGCGACGAGAGUGACGGCUUAUGCGAGGAUCCCCUCUCCGAGGUCGACCUCAACAACAUCCUGUCCUCUCGGACCCGCCGCUGCUCCCCAGCACAGCCUGGGGCGUACCUGGUGCCACCAGAGGAGGCAGCGGAGGAUGACGAGGACGAUGAGGACGCAGACGUCGACAUGGCUCCCGGGGAGGAGAGCGGCGACGGGGAGGAGAGCGAUUAG
rnacentral:rRNA from 1 species